GGGUGAGUAACGCGUAGGAAUCUACCUAGUAGUGGGGGAUAGCCCAGAGAAAUUUGGAUUAAUACCGCAUACACCCUACGGGGGAAAGGAGGGGAUCUUCGGACCUUUCGCUAUUAGAUGAGCCUGCGUUAGAUUAGCUUGUUGGUGGGGUAAAGGCCUACCAAGGCGACGAUCUAUAGCUGUUCUGAGAGGAAGAUCAGCCACACUGGGACUGAGACACGGCCCAGACUCC
rnacentral:rRNA from 1 species